rnacentral:lncRNA from 1 species
GCUCCCUGAUGGGAGUAUUCAUGGUUAGAGUCUCAGUCUCUAUUACGGGCCCUAGUACACUUCAGGAACUCAAAAGCUUUGCUGAUAUAAUGCAAGGUGAUAAAAAAGUAGAAAGACUUGGGAUAAUCUUGAUUUCUGAAGGCAUCAAACGGGAAUUAGAGAAAGCAGCAGGAAAAACGAAGGCCUUUUUAAGUUCCAUGAGAACUACGGUUUGCAAGACUGGUCAAAACAGUACAAUGCAAGCGGCAAGAAUCAGGAAGUGCACAGAAACAAGAAGCUCGGUGCACACUGGGAUCAGGCAAGCAUCUGGGAGAAGACUGUAGCAAGACUGGAUCCUGAGAGUGUUUCAAUUGAAUAUUGCAACUGAAGACAUUCACUCUGCGUUGAUCACCUAUGGAGUGAUCAAAUUUCAACCCUUUGAAGUUUCCUAAAUGAAAGAGGCACUCUGAAUUCAAAGGCUGUUUGAAUGAACUGACUGCUUCAGCACUGUCUUGUAGAUAUAGUCCAUUCAAAUAAAAGACAAAUAUCUGACUGAAUUUUGUUAGCACGUUAAGACAUGUAUUAUAAAAAGGUUUAAGAAGAAAAUAAUGGCCACAAUUCUUCAGAAAACAUGUGAACUAAUGUGACAAAACACUGUGGUGUUGCAAACUCAAGUGCUGCUCUGGCCAAGUCACCUCGCUGAAAUCUCCACUUCCACUUGUGCAACCUACCAAGCCACUCUCUACACAGCUGCCAGAGUGAUUACAAAAACAACGCGGGAUUAUGCUACCCCUGCUUAUCUAAAAUUUGUCAAAAUGCCCGUUACACUUUGAAUAAAAUACAGAUUCCUCUCAGAUCUCA